rnacentral:rRNA from 1 species
UAGGGAAUCUUCCACAAUGGGCGAAAGCCUGAUGGAGCAACGCCGCGUGUGUGAUGAAGGCUUUCGGGUCAUAAAGCACUGUUGUAUGGGAAGAACAGCUAGAAUAGGAAAUGAUUUUAGUUUGACGGUACCAUACCAGAAAGGGACGGCUAAAUACGUGCCAC